AGAGUUUGAUCCUGGCUCAGGAUGAACGCUGGCGGCGUGCCUAAUACAUGCAAGUCGAACGAAGGAUACAGCAAUGUGUUCUUAGUGGCGAACGGGUGAGUAACGCGUUGGUGACCUGCCCCGAAGAGAGGGAUAACAGAUCGAAAGGUCUGCUAAUACCUCAUAAGAUAACUGGAGUUAGAGACCAGUUAUGAAAGCGGAGAAAUCCGGCUUUGGGAGGGGCCUGCGUCCCAUCAGCUAGUUGGUGAGGUAAAAGCCCACCAAGGCGAUGACGGGUAGGGGACCUGAGAGGGUGACCCCCCACAAUGGAACUGAAACACGGUCCAUACACCUACGGGUGGCAGCAGUAGGGGAUAUUGCUUAAUGGGCGAAAGCCUGAAGCAGCAACGCCGCGUGCGCGAAGAAGGCCUUCGGGUUGUAAAGCGCUUUUAGAGAGGAUGAGGAAGGACAGUACCCUCAGAAUAAGUCUCGGCUAACUACGUGCCAGCAGCCCGGUAAAACGUAGGAGACGAGCGUUAUCCGGAUUUACUGGGCGUAAAGCGCGUGCAGGCGGCACGGAAAGUUGGAUGUGAAAGCUCCCGGCUUAACUGGGAGAGGUCGUUCAAAACUACCGAGCUAGAGUGUGAGAAAGGGAAGUGGAAUUCCGGGUGUAGUGGUGAAAUGCGUAGAUAUCCGGAGGAACACCAGUGGCGAAAGCGGCUUUCUGGCUCACAACUGACGCUCAGACGCGAAAGCUAGGGUAGCAAACGGGAUUAGAGACCCCGGUAGUCCUAGCCGUAAACGAUGUAGACUUGGCGUCGGGAGGUUUAAAUCUCUCGGUGCCGGAGCAAACGCGAUAAGUCUACCGCCUGGGGACUACGGCCGCAAGGUUAAAACUCAAAGGAAUUGACGGGGGCCCGCACAAGCAGCGGAGCGUGUGGUUUAAUUCGAUUCUACACGAAGAACCUUACCAGGGUUUGACAUGCUAGUGGUAGAGAAGCGAAAGCAGAUCGACCCUUCGGGGAGCUAGCACAGGUGCUGCAUGGCUGUCGUCAGCUCGUGUCGUGAGAUGUUCGGUUAAGUCCGCUAACGAGCGCAACCCUCGCCGUGUGUUAUACGUGUCACGCGGGACCGCCGGUCUUAAGCCGGAGGAAGGUGGGGAUGACGUCAAGUCAGCAUGGCCUUUAUAUCCUGGGCUACACACACGCUACAAUGGUCAGUAGAGUAGGUAGCGAAGCCGCGAGGUGGAGCCAAUCCUCAAAGCUGGCCUCAGUUCAGAUCGUAGGCUGCAACUCGCCUGCGUGAAGCUGGAGUUGCUAGUAACCGCAGGUCAGCUAUACUGCGGUGAAUACGUUCCCGGGCCUUGUACACACCGCCCGUCACGUCAUGGGAGCUGGCAACACCUGAAGCCGGUAUCCUAACCCGCAAGGGAGGGAGCCGUCGAAGGUGGGGUUGGUAACUGGGACGAAGUCGAAACAAGGUA
rnacentral:rRNA from 1 species